GACGAACGCUGGCGGCGUGCCUAACACAUGCAAGUCGAGCGGAGUCAGUAAGAGGAAGUUUUCGGAUGGAAUCUUAUUGAUUUAGCGGCGGACGGGUGAGUAACGCGUGAGCGACCAACCUUGCACAGGGGGAUAACGGACCGAAAGGUUCACUAAUACCGCAUGAGACCACGGUGUUGCAUGACACAGGGGUCAAAGGAGCAAUCCGGUGCAAGACGGGCUCGCGUCCGAUUAGGUAGUUGGAGGGGUAACGGCCCACCAAGCCUAUGAUCGGUAGCCGACCUGAGAGGGUGAUCGGCCACAUUGAAACUGAGAUACGGUCCAAACCCCUACGGGAGGCAGCAGUGGGGAAUAUUGGGCAAUGGGGGAAACCCUGACCCAGCAACGCCGCGUGAAGGAAGAAGGUUUUCGGAUUGUAAACUUCUGUCCUUGGUGAAGAGAAGAAGACGGUAGCCAAGGAGGAAGCCCCGGCUAACUACGUGCCAGCCGCCGCCGUAA
rnacentral:rRNA from 1 species